rnacentral:piRNA from 1 species
AGUUACGCUUCUGGAAAAUCGACG